rnacentral:rRNA from 1 species
UACGUAGGGGGCAAGCGUUAUCCGGAAUUACUGGGUGUAAAGGGUGCGUAGGUGGUAUGGCAAGUCAGAAGUGAAAACCCAGGGCUUAACCCUGGGACUGCUUUUGAAACUGUCAGACUGGAGUGCAGGAGAGGUAAGCGGAAUUCCUAGUGUAGCGGUGAAAUGCGUAGAUAUUAGGAGGAACAUCAGUGGCGAAGGCGGCUUACUGGACUGAAACUGACACUGAGGCACGAAAGCGUGGGGAGCAAACAGG